AUGAACGCUGGCGGCGUGCCUAAUACAUGCAAGUCGAGCGAACAGACGAGGAGCUUGCUCCUCUGACGUUAGCGGCGGACGGGUGAGUAACACGUGGAUAACCUACCUAUAAGACUGGGAUAACUUCGGGAAACCGGAGCUAAUACCGGAUAACAUGUUGAACCGCAUGGUUCAACAGUGAAAGACGGUCUUGCUGUCACUUAUAGAUGGAUCCGCGCCGCAUUAGCUAGUUGGUAAGGUAACGGCUUACCAAGGCAACGAUGCGUAGCCGACCUGAGAGGGGGAUCGGCCACACUGGAAAUGACACAAGGUCCAGACCCCUACGGGAGGCAGCAGUAGGGAAUCUUCCGCAAUGGGCGAAAGCCUGACGGAGCAACGCCGCGUGAGGGAAGAAGGUCUUCGGACCGUAAAACUCUGUUAUUAGGAAAGAACAAAUGUGUAAGUAAAUAUGCACGUUUUGACGGUACCUAAUCAAAAAGCCCCGGCUAACUACGU
rnacentral:rRNA from 1 species